AUUGAACGCUGGCGGCAGGCCUAACACAUGCAAGUCGAGCGAGCGGCGGACGGGUGAGUAAUGUAUGGGGACUGCCCGAUAGAGGGGGAUAACUACUGGAAACGGUGGCGAAUACCGCAUACUAUCGGAUAACCCAGAUGGGAUUAGCUAGUAGGGAAGGUAAUGGCUUACCUAGGCGACGAUCCCUAGCUGGUCUGAGAGGAUGAUCAUCCCCACUGGGAUUGAUACACGGCCCAGACUCCUACGGCGGCAGCAGUGGGGAAUAUUGCACAAUGGGCGAAAGCCUGAUGCAGCCAUGCCGCGUGUAUGAAGAAGGCCCUUGGGUUGUAAAGUACUUUCAGUCGGGAGGCGUUACCGACAGAAGAAGCACCGGCUAACUCCGUGCCAGCAGCCGCGGUAAUUC
rnacentral:rRNA from 1 species